AUAUCAGUGGAAACUGAUUAGGAUUUGAAACACAUUUCAGGUGGUGUUUUUAAUGUGGUCCUGUGUUCUUUUAUUUUAUUAGUAGUUAUGGUGAUAGAUGCAUUAGACAGUUUUCUGGGUGCUAGAACAGCUUUGUUGGUUAACUAUUCAGCUGUCUUAAAUACUGACUGUGGACUCUAAUUCAGAAGUUUGAAAGGAGCAGCAAUUUGGAUUUUUAGGAAAAAAUACUUAGCUUAAGAUGUAAUGGGCAACAUAUGGAAUAAUUUGCUGAAUAACACCAUCAAAGCAAAUGGCAUGAAAACAAGUUUGAGACACAUAUUUCAGAAAAGGAAACAUGGUAUUGAAAUGCACAGCAGAGAAACGCUUGUGAUGAAAGGAUAACCCUCAAGGAGACAUGCGUGCUGGACCAAGGGGUCUUUCCUUGCACGGCAGUAGUUUGUUUUGGUGUUAGAAAAAACAUUAGAAAUCAAAACCCAGAGAACUAGAGGAAGCAGAAGAAACAUAGUUGCCCUUGGCAAUGCAUUGUGAGGAUAAAACAAAUUUUAUUUUUGCCUUUGCAUUUCUGAGCAUUCGUGGAUUUAGAUGAUUUGAGACCGGAGGUGACAUAAGCAGAACAAUGAAGCAGAGAGAAGCCUUCUGCUUGUUUCCAUCUCAUCAGUGCCCUAUUAUCCAGGGACCAAAAUAAGGAAUUAGAGAAGUUGCUUGGGAAGGUUUGGCAAAGCAUUAACUUUGUUUGGUCUCUUUGUGGCUCAUUCUGUGAUACAGCAAAGAAAUAAGUUUCAUGAAGAAGACUUGCUGUAAGGAAGCUUCAUUUUCUGUCCCCUUUAUUUGGAAAAGGAGACUGUCAUUGUUUGAUAAUUUUCCUUUUUCCAUCUGUUGAGCUUCCAUGCUGUGUUUUAGAGACUCCUUGUAACUGAAUAUAUUUGGAAAUGAUCUGUGCUCCCUUAUUUGCAGAGGUAAUUUGCUGUUCUCAGUUCCUUUUUCAUGUGGAUCCUGGACAAAUGGUGAAAGAAUAUGACUAAUGUUGAAGAGAAAGGGUCACUUCCAUCUUUUUCGUGUGGUGGCCAUCUCAAUAACAAAAAGGGAUGGGAACUUGCAGGCAAGCAGAGCUCUGAAUUACCUUUCUACUAAAGUUUCCUGGAUUUAGUACUUUAAAUGGCGCUGCUGCACAAAGAGACCUGUGUGAUUUUAAGUUGGUAGAGUGGAAGAUAAACUAGGUCAGUAUAAUGAAGCUGCAAAAAUUGUGCUGCCUUUUAUCCCAGAAAAAGGGGGAGAGCACAAUCACAGGGUGACCAGGAGCCAUGACAUCCGCUGGGACCUGUUGGUAGUUGGGCUCCCCAGGCAGGAGGGACAAUGAUACCGUAGUUUCAGUUUGCUUCUGUGUAUCUUUGAUUCCUCUUGAGCAAAAGCUGGCCUGGCUGAUCCUUGAGCUGUCAUGGGCAUGAUGAAGGGGACUGUUGCUCCCAAGACCUCUAGUGCUUAAAUUGAUUUCUUUUAGCAUCAAGUUGAGAAUUUGAGUCUUAGCAGACAGAAAAGGUGAGGAGACCAGAUCCUUGUAUUACUCACCAUAUGGAUUCACCAUUCACUUCUGCAGUGGCACAAUGGUACUUCUUUUUCUGCUUGCUUUCCUUUCAUGCUGGUUCCUGAAAUUAUGUGCUGUAGGGACAAUAACUGAGUAUUUCUGAAAACUGUACACUGAGAUUUUAGGACCUUCACUGGAGCACUGCUAGCUCGUCUAGAGCCCAUUAAAACGUGGGCGUCGUGAGGUGCUGUUUCCCAAACACAUUAUUUUUGCAUUUCUGGGCAUUUGUUUUGCAUCUGUGAUUUUAUACCCAGACUCAGUAUCAUGAGAUCCAUCUGCAGAUCUUCAAGGUCAGUUUAAAAUCUGACUUGGAUUGUCUGCAGUCUUUGCCACUGUUACUCUCACAGCCUUUGCUACAAGCUCCGAGAACUGCAGAGUGUGUUUGGUAGUGACCUCCAAACUAUUUAGGGAUUGAGUGUGACUUCAGCUUUUUUGCAGCAAGAUGAGUUCCUAUAGUAUGCUGAGCUGUAAUAUGGCUUGAAACAUGUCUUUUCUAGAACUUCAACUAUAUUCUGUAGCAAACUGAACUAGUCCUGAGUAUUGACACUUAGGAGUAAACCCAGGGUCAGUGUCACUUUCAUCUUCACACAGGUGCAGGAGGGUGACUAGAGUCAGGAAAUCAACUGAAAUAUUUUUAUACACAGUAAUUUCUGUCAUUUGGGGGGAAAUAACAUAUUUUAGAAGAGUGUGGUAACCUUCCACUGUUUGUUUUUCAUUCUGAUUUUUAAUCUAAACACUACAGUCCUAUAGGCUGUCAUUUCAAAGGGAAAAAAUAAGCAGAGAAUAUUAAGAAGCAAUUAAGAUUUUAGAGUUUAGCCAACAGCAAAUUUUAAAUGGGAACUAAAUUAUAGCCAUUUCUCAUUUUCAGCUAAGAGGAAGAAAUUCAUUCACGACUGUAGCUGGAGAGUUUUCUUUUUCUUUCUUUUGAACAGAUACUAUAAUUCACCUUGAAUUAUUGCCACCAUCAAUAUCAUGAUCCCAAAGACAAAAUAGGAAUAUUGUACUGCAUUUCCUAUUAAAUCAAGCUGUUUAUACAGUGCUAAUAUGUUUACUUUCAGGGGGGAUUUUUGGAACAAUGCAGCUGCUGCCUUUCAAAGAGCAAGCAAGCUUGUGUUGCUUGUUUUAUAGCUGUGUGUGUAUAUGAGACAGCUUGGGAAAAAAAUGUCUUUAAUUUUCCUUAGGCAAAAUCCUAUAGAAUUUCGUAGAUGGAGAGAGUUUUCUUAGGUUUUUGUUAAGCAUCCUGUCAAAUUGAACAGAAUCAUUAGGACAAGUCCUGUGACAGAGCCUUGUACUUCUCUGGCAGUGUCUUUCUGUGCAGGAGAAAUUACACUGAGCACCAGCAGAUGUGUUCUUUUUUCUGACUUGGUCAUUGAUUUCUGUGGGACCUCAGGCCAAGUCACUUAGGGGUUGAGAGUACUGUUGUUGAACUCAGUGGCAAAGAUCUCACUGGGAGCAAGCUCAGGUGUUCAAUAUUUCAGCAUCGGAGUUCUGACACUGGUGGAACAGCACUGAAAAAGGAUGGUCAGCUGUAUUUGUAUAUCAACUUAUAAUAUAGCAACAAAAGCUGCAACAUAAAGAACCCUCAUAUUUACCAUGUCUAAUAACUGUGCCUCAGAAAAUUACCUUUUGGUGUUAAAUUCUGGGGAGCCUGCACAGCUGCUUAGCCAAGAGAGCGUUAAAACUUAAUUGAGAGAAAAAAAACCCCAACAAUUUCUGCCUGUACCAGGUUGUAAAAAGUGCUGAAAUUGUUAUUUGAACCUAUCUCUAGGUUUUAUUUUAUGAGUAUACAAAGUGUUGUUCAUCUACUGUACUGAUUGGAAAAGGAGCAUUGCAAAUUUACAGACCAUUGUAAAAUUGUUUGCUUACAAUGAUAAAAGCUUCUUUCAGCUUACUCUAAAAUGUUUGUGAUUCUUCUCAUUUUCUCACCCAUGGAGGAGGUUGAGUGGUAACACUUUCUGAGACCCUGGGUGUUAAUUUUAAGAAUGCCUCAGAUGCAGUUGCAUGAGUAUUUAUUUCAGCAGCAGCAGUUCAGGCAGGGUCCUCUGUUCCUGCCCUUGUUCUGCCCUCUGUGAUCCCAUUGCAAAUGUUUGUACAACCAUGUGAGGAGAUGGAUUGCAAAAUAAUCCAUGUUUAAAAAAAAAAAAAAAAACUUUAACAAAAAAAUGAGAGGAGUUUUUCAUGUCCUGAUUUAAACCAGAUUAGCUCCUAGUCUGGUUCAUGUAGUAACAGGACAGAGCUGUACCAGCAUAACUGAGGGAGCAGCACAGGGCAGGGAUGAGAAGGAUGGAUGGGGAUGCUCGUUCCAACAUGGUCCUUAGCGAUGCCUGAGGACCACGUCCAGGUGCUUGUGCUCAUCUUGGGAUGGCAGUGCCCCAGAGCUUGUGUCACCACUGAGGAGAGCUGACAAGGACAAGAGACUUCUGUUCUCCCUGGAAACAGGCAACUCCCCAGGGAGACAAGUGAAAACACGGAGAAUUCUACAAGAUCCCAUUUCCUUCCUGGUGAGGCCAAUAGUGACCUGCUGCUUUACAAACCAACAUAUUUUGUCUUGAGAAAGGAAACAGCAAGGUUUUCUGAAGGUUUCUCAUGACAGAAGUUGAAGUCAUGUUUUCUGCUAGUACCUUGUCUCCCUACAACUGUACAAUUGUCCUGUGUCCUUGUUGGAAUUUUGGAGUCCUGGAGAGGAAGGAGAGAAUGAUGAACAGCUUAUCAAGCACCAAGGACAUUUACUUGGUUUACAUCUGCCAUAGCUAUUCUGAACAUGUUUAUGGUGUGGAGGGUUUUAUAAACUUUAUAUUUAUUAGCAGUAAUUCCUUACUAUUAAAAAAAAAAUUAAUAUUUAAUAAUUAAAGCACACCAUUUGCAUGCACAAAUCACCAUAAUUUGACUUGGGUGCUAUUUAGUACUGAAUCUAUUUAGGCAAAGCAAUUGUAUCUCUGUGGAGAUCAAUCCUAAAGAAUAAAAGAAAUUAAAGGAUUUUAAAAUUAAUUAGAGCAAAGAAAAGAUUGUCUUCUUUUUCCUGAGACUAUGGAAAUAAAGUUUCUGCUUUCUAAAGCAAAAUAUAGUAAUUAGGAAAUUUGAAAAU